rnacentral:rRNA from 1 species
AAUGAACGCUGGCGGCGCGCCUAAUACAUGCAAGUCGAGCGAGAAGACGUAGCAAUACGUUUGUAAAGCGGCGAACGGGUGAGGAAUACAUGGGUAACCUACCCUAGAGUGGGGAAUAACUAGCCGAAAGGUUAGCUAAUACCGCGUACGCUCCUUGGACUUCGGUUCAGGAGGAAAGCGAUGCCGAGGGUAUCGCGCUCUUGGAUGGGCUCAUGUCCUAUCAGCUUGUUGGNGAGGUAACGGCUCACCAAGGCUUCGACGGGUAGCUGGUCUGAGAGGACGAUCAGCCACACUGGCACUGCGACACGGGCCAGACUCCUACGGGAGGCAGCAGUAAGGAAUAUUGCGCAAUGGGCGAAAGCCUGACGCAGCGACGCCGCGGUGGGGA